rnacentral:ncRNA from 1 species
AAUAUAUUUUAUCUUAGUAUUGCGAUUUACUUGUUUAUUUUUUUCACAUGUAAUUCCUUGAAUUAAAUUUAUUUAUCACAGUAAAUAAGAUUAAUUAUUAUAAUCAUAUUAGAUUUAGAAAUUUAAACUUAAAAUUAACAUAUUUUGUGCCAGCAGUUGCGGUUACACAAUUAAUUUAAUGUAAAUUUAAUGAUAAAGUUUUUUUGUUUCGCAAAUCAAGUAAAUCAUUAUUUUUAGGUAAAAUUUUAAUAAUGAAAUUCUUGAUUUUAAUAAUUAAACGAAUUUUUUUAUUAAACCAGGAUUAGAUACCCUGUUAUAAAAACGUAAAAUAGUUGGAGUAGUAUUAGUUAUGAUCUUCAAACUCAAAAGAUUUGGCGGUAUUUUAUCUUUUUAGAGGAAUCUGUAUAUUAAUUGAUAAUCCACGACUAAAGCUACUUUUAAAAUUUAACUUGUAUACCGUUGUCAAAAAUAUAUUAAUAAAUCAAUUUUUUCUUACUUUUAUGGAGUUUAUGAUAGAUCAAGGUGCAGUUUUUAAAAGUUUUUAUGGAUUACCAUUAGACUAAUGAAUGAAUUAAAUUUUAAAUCAAAUAUUUUAUGAAGGAGGAUUUAAUAGUAAACAAAUUAAAGUAAUUAAAUGAAUAAAGUUUCUAAAAUAUGUACAUAUUGCCCGUCGCUCUUAUUUAAAAUAAGAUAAGUCGUAACAUAGUAGAAGUACCGGAAGGUGCUUCUGGCUAU